rnacentral:rRNA from 1 species
UCUGACCAUAGUGAAAGCCUAAUCCUAUAUGAUCUUGGAAGCUAAGCAGGGAUGGGUCUCGUUAGUCAUUGGAUGGGAAACCACUGGGAAUACAGGUACCAUAU